UAGAGUUUGAUCCUGGCUCAGAACGAACGCUGGCGGCAGGCUUAACACAUGCAAGUCGAGGGGCCCGCAAGGGCACCGGCGCACGGGUGAGUAACACGUGGGAACAUGCCCUUAGGUGCGGAACAACGUUGGGAAACUAGCGCUAAUACCGCAUAAUAUCUACGGAUCAAAGAUUUAUCGCCUAAGGAUUGGCCCGCGUUAGAUUAGGUAGUUGGUAGGGUAACGGCCUACCAAGCCGACGAUCUAUAGCUGGUUUGAGAGGAUGAUCAGCCACACUGGGACUGAGACACGGCCCAGACUCCUACGGGAGGCAGCAGUGAGGAAUAUUGGACAAUGGGCGAAAGCCUGAUCCAGCCAUGCCGCGUGAGUGACGAAGGCCUUAGGGUUGUAAAGCUCUUUCAGGUGCGAAGAUAAUGACAGUACACCAGAAGAAGCCCCGGCUAAAUUCGUGCCAGCAGCCGCGGUAAUACGAAUGGGGCGAGCGUUGUUCGGAAUCACUGGGCGUAAAGCGUACGUAGGCGGAUUGGAAAGUCAGAAGUGAAAUCCCGGGGCUUA
rnacentral:rRNA from 1 species